UAGGGAAUCUUCGGCAAUGGGGGCAACCCUGACCGAGCAACGCCGCGUGAGUGAAGAAGGUUUUCGGAUCGUAAAGCUCUGUUGUAAGAGAAGAACGUGUGUGAGAGUGGAAAGUUCACACAGUGACGGUAACUUACCAGAAAGGGACGGCUAACUACGUGCCAGCAGCCGCGGUAAUACGUAGGUCCCGAGCGUUGUCCGGAUUUAUUGGGCGUAAAGCGAGCGCAGGCGGUUUAAUAAGUCUGAAGCUAAAGGCAGUGGCUUAACCAUUGUUCGCUUUGGAAACUGUUAAACUUGAGUGCAGAAGGGGAGAGUGGAAUUCCAUGUGUAGCGGUGAAAUGCGUAGAUAUAUGGAGGAACACCGGUGGCGAAAGCGGCUCUCUGGUCUGUAACUGACGCUGAGGCUCGAAAGCGUGGGGAGCAAACAGG
rnacentral:rRNA from 1 species